UGUGUAGGCGGUUCUCUAAGUUCGGUGUGAAAUCUCCCGGCUCAACUGGGAGGGUGCGCCGAAAACUGGAGGGCUUGAGUAUGGGAGAGGAAAGCGGAAUUCCUGGUGUAGCGGUGAAAUGCGUAGAUAUCAGGAGGAACACCUGCGGUGUAGACAGCUUUCUGGACCAUCACUGACGCUGAGACACGAAAGCGUGGUAGCAAACA
rnacentral:rRNA from 1 species